AGGAAAUACCUUCAUGUCCAAGCCAGGUUGACCCCGCUGACAUGACAUUUACCCUCAAGCCACAUACGGCCCAAAAGCCGAUUUCAACUCACGCCUGAUGUCAGCCAAUCACGGGAGACUUCAGGUCACGUAAACUUGAUUGGAAACAUGCGUGAGCAUUUGCUCACCUUGCGGGGGGCUGCCAUCCACCACCUGCCUGCAUGGGACGCCCCUCCUCGCUCACUUGCCUGCCAAAACCGCCAGCCGCCCCUCCACACAUACAAAACAAAAACAACUGAAGCAACACGCAGCCCAAAAAUUUCCACAACAAGUUCCACGUUGCGCUCAGAAAACGUCAAAAUAGAAGAAAAGCCUUCGAUGGCAGCUGGAUGUCAAAGUUUGGGUCCAAAAGUCCGCCACGCUGGAAGAAGAACAAGAAGAAAGAAAAGUGAGUCAACUGUCAAGAAGCCGAAUGACUCACAUCAAGCUAGAGGAAUUCUGGGGGAGACGCUUCCCAUACACAUUUUUACUCUUCACAAAAUAAGAGCUGCAACUGCAAAAAAAAAAAAAAAAAAUUAAAAAAA